CAGCACCUCAAGUGGUCAGGAUGAUUAUUGGGCCUAAAGCAUCCGUAGCCGGCGCUGUAAGUUUUCGGUUAAAUCUGUACGCUCAACGUACAGGCUGCCGGGAAUACUGCAGCGCUAGGGAGUGGGAGAGGUAGACGGUACUCGGUAGGAAGGGGUAAAAUCCUUUGAUCUAUUGAUGACCACCUGUGGCGAAGGCGGUCUACCAGAACACGUCCGACGGUGAGGGAUGAAAGCUGGGGGGAGCAAACCGGAUUAGAUACCCGAGUAGUCC
rnacentral:rRNA from 1 species